ACGGAUAUGAUGAAAUUGGUAGACAUGCUAGACUUAGAAUCUAGUGAGAAAUCGUGAGGGUUCAAGUCCCUCUAUCCGUA
rnacentral:tRNA from 1 species